CACCUACGGGAGGCAGCAGUCGGGAAUAUUGCGCAAUGGAGGAAACUCUGACGCAGUGACGCCGCGUGCAGGAAGAAGGUUUUCGGAUUGUAAACUGCUUUAGACAGGGAAGAAACAAGACAGUACCUGUAGAAUAAGCUCCGGCUAACUACGUGCCAGCAGCCGCGGUAAUACGUAGGAAGCAAGCGUUAUCCGGAUUUACUGGGUGUAAAGGGAGCGUAGGCGGCAGUGCAAGUCAGAAGUGAAAGCCCGGGGCUCAACUCCGGGACUGCUUUUGAAACUGUACAGCUUGAUUGCAGGAGAGG
rnacentral:rRNA from 1 species